rnacentral:lncRNA from 1 species
UGGGUAAGUGAGAUAUAUUCUACUUAAAUGUAAGCACUGAAAUUAAGAUGAUUACAAUCCCAAAGACAAAAUAAACAAUAAGAAAAAGAACAUAGUGUAUAAUACAAAUUUUGAACCCACUAUAACUAUACAUUCUGAAUUCGCCUCUGCUUACUUGUUCCAAGCUCCACUAGAAAGGAAAGGAAAAAGGAAUAUGAAUAUGAUUUCCUUUCAUUUGUUACAAAGAAAAGCUGCGGCCUUGCCAUUAAUUACUGGUUGGCCAGGACAUGGUAGAUGCUAGGGCAAAGCCUUGGGAACCAGGUGCUGCCGAUUCAACUCUAUUAUUUCACCCUACCAUAAUGACAUAGAAACCGUUAAUUUGCUUUCUUGCAGGAUAAAAAGAACAUUAGUUUUUGAGGAAUAUGAACAGCAUGCAUGUUUGGAUCCACAGCCUUCCCCAUUGAUCACUGAUGCUAUGAAAUUAUGUUUCUGCCAAAACAGUGUUCAAUAUUACAACAAAAAGAACAUGGGAAACAGAGGCAUAUAUGAAACACAAUGCGCCAUAUAUACAAGGGACAAGAAAGAUGAUGUUGUUUCUUCAACAAAUCUUAACUCACAUUUCAUUUUCAGUCGGUUCUAUAUAGUUAUUAGUUAUUUGAUAAAUAUAUUGGUUGACCAAAGAAUAUAACCAAGUAAUCUGACAGAAUAGAAUAUAUAGGAAUUUUCAUCUCAAGAUUUAGAAUAUCUUAUAUGCGUGUGUUAUCAUAUAAACGUGGCGAGCACAUAUACAUAUAUAAAAUAUCUUGGAAUACGUACACAUGUUUUGAGGUGAAAGCAACGGGUUCAACCUGCUAGAUGAUCCGUCUCCAUUUCCAGAUAUAUGAAUCUGCAUUUUUUCUUCAGUUAGAUGUGUUUUUCUU